rnacentral:rRNA from 1 species
GACGGAGGGCGCGAGCGUUGUCCGGAUUUACUGGGCGUAAAGAGCGCGCAGGCGGUCGAUCAAGUCGAGUGUGAAAGCCCCCGGCUCAACUGGGGAGGGUCAUUCGAUACUGAUCGACUCGAAGGCAGGAGAGGGUAGUGGAAUUCCCGGUGUAGUGGUGAAAUGCGUAGAUAUCGGGAGGAACACCAGUGGCGAAGGCGACUACCUGGCCUGUUCUUGACGCUGAGGCGCGAAAGCUAGGGGAGCAAACGGG